UCACCCAUGGUCGGGCACUAUGAGAGAAUUUGUUGAGAGUAGCUUAUUUGGUCUGGGUGGAGAUGAUUAAUGAUGGCAUGUAGGAGUUUUAUGUGCAUCUCCACGGGCCUGAAGACAAUAACAAUAAUCAUCCAUCCACAACUUUGGCUUCCACAAAUUUUGUGCACCUUCAAUACCUUCUGUUCUGGUUUAUGCAGUCAUUUAAAGAUAUGAUCGAAGAGACUAGGAAUUGCAAGCCAGUUAACCAACAUACUCAGAGAUGUUGGAGAGGAGUGGUAGCUACAUUAUCUCUCAUGUUGACUAAAUAUUGUUGAGGCUAUAGAAGAUGGACCUUCUGGACCUUCACCUGCUAGGAAUUGAUUAGACAUUGUUGAAGUUGUUAUUGAAGAUGCACCUUCACCAAACAAGAAGGAAGAAAUUAAAGAAGAGCAAUGUAGAUGUUAGUAUGUGGUCAUAAAAAAGUUG